rnacentral:rRNA from 1 species
AGGACGAACGCUGGCGGCGUGCUUAACACAUGCAAGUCGAGCGGAAAGGCCCUUCGGGGUACUCGAGCGGCGAACGGGUGAGUAACACGUGAGUAAUCUGCCCCUAGCUCUGGGAUAGCUCCGGGAAACCGGGAUUAAUACCGGAUACGACCACUUUAGACAUCUGUUGUGGCGGAAAGAAUUUUGGCUAGGGAUGAGCUCGCGGCCUAUCAGCUUGUUGGUGGGGUAACGGCCUACCAAGGCGACGACGGGUA